GCAGCCAAGUUCCGCCUUCCCCCCUAUUUUUCGGUUUUGAGCUUUUCUUUCCCCAAGAGUUCUUCUUCACCAAGAGUUCUAAGGCUUUUAAACUCAUCUUCUUCAAGGCCUUCAACCCCUUCUUUCCAAACCUUCUUCCUCUCCAAGGUUUUCAAGCGAGGCAAGGAGGAGGAUUUUGAUCUUCAUUGACAACAAAGUUUCCUCUUCAAAGAUUCUUCAAACUUUGAUUAGCUAUGUCGACGAAGAAGUCUCGUACCGCGAGGGGUCGUUCUGCUACCCAGUCACCUGAGCCCGAACCUUUCAAUUGCACCGACGCGAUAUCUUCUCUACCAAGCUUCAACUACCCCAGGAUUCGGUUUCCACCCAACCUGGGGAGAUGAAGAGCUCAUCUCCUACUACAUCACCCGAAACGUCGACGAGGAGAUAGCUUGAUCUACGAUCAAUCUGGUUUUUCAAAAGAGCGGGGUUGGAGCGAAGAGCCGAGAGCAAAGUGCGUCGGUUCUUUAUCAUCGAAGCUAUUGAAGACAAAGAAAAGGAGACGAGGAGAAGCGAGGGCAGCAUUGUUUGGUACAAAGUGAUCAGGGCUAUUUAUCAUUUGAAGAGGAGUGCUGAGUACUGCCAAGUGAACAAAUGAGAAGAAAGUGGAGUCAGAGUAGGGAGAUGAAUUAACAAAAAUAUUGAAAUAAAAAUAUUAGUCCCCCGCUCGGCGGAAAAAAAACCUCUUGAUCUUGGCAUUCUGGAGUACCUGUAUAAAGGAGACGGAUCUUUUUUCUCUUCUUUUCUUUGUUAAGUAAUGAUUUGUAAGGAUGUGUAAAAAGUGAGGAUAUUUUAUCUCCUUGUAGUUGUUUUCUUUUUUCUUUAAGUGAUUUUAGUAGGAUGGAAUCGACGAUAUUU